rnacentral:tRNA from 1 species
UGUUCUGUGGCUUAUUUGGGUGAAGCGCUGAUCUAGCGAAUACGGAGACGUGAGUUCUAACCCCACCAGAACAC